CAAAAGUCAUGGUGGGUAAGCAGCGGAUAUUGCUGCAAGCUGUUACUCUUUUCCUCCAGGUUUGCCCAGGAAUCACAGUGGGACCUGUUUAAGCACUAUUUCUCCAACGCUUGCAGUUGGUGAAAAGAACCAAUGCCUCGCUAUUUGGUGCACAUGGCUUUGUCCGAUUCCUAGAAUGCCAUGUGUUAAUGUUACAGAAAAUGCCAGAGGGUAUCUUCAUGCAUAUUCCUCUAGAGCUUCACAGCCAAACCCUUGAGGCUUAUUUUGCCAUCAGUAACUCCUUCCUGUUCCCCCAGCCAUGAGUGAAUAUGCUGAAUGAGGACCUUUUACUGUAAGGAGUUCUUCUCUCAAUGUGUGACCUGCCCUGUCUAUCACCAGUGGGUAUCUGAGCUUAAGGCCUCUGUAAUGAGAUGUGAAAAGAGAGAAUUGAUGUCCCUGACUAACAGCAUCAGACCUUUUGACACCUGCUUGACCAGGAUUUGGAUAAAAGGAGAAUUUCUGCAGGAAAAUAACUCUUAGAAAAGAAACUUAGGAAUACAGAGAUUUGACAGAGUGGCUGAUGUCAAGGAGAACAAGGAUGCAGAAGAAACUCAAGAUGUAUGUAUUAAAACAAAAGAACAAUAACCUGAAGGGACCAUGAUUCUGUUAUUGUAUAUAACACAAGGAAAUGCCCCAGAUUCU
rnacentral:lncRNA from 1 species